rnacentral:lncRNA from 1 species
UCGGGCCUUCUCGUGGCUACCUCUGUGCUUCCCUGAGACCUGAUUUGUGAGCCCUUUUUGCUGGUUUUCGCCAGAGGUUUUUUACCAAAUCAAAAUUUCAACCAUUGACUAACACAGGGGUUGAAGGAAGAGGACGGGGAAGUUCAGUGAUGGAUGGGAACAACAGUCUUAGAUGAUAGGGAUAAUUAAGAGGGCAUAGUUGGGGACUUGUGGUUAUUUUGCACAGCUCUCUACUCUCAGUCCAAUGUUUGGAAAUGAGGAUGCUCCACGUGCUACCCUAAAGAACCAUUUAUGUAAGUGGACUAAGCUAAAACUGCCACAGCUAAACUAUUCCUGCCUCCCUGCUUGCUUCUCCCAUCUCUGUUCCAUAGUCUUUGGUGCUAUUUACAUAUAGGCCUUAAUCCAUUAGAAUCUCGUCUGAGAGUCUUGACACCAUUUUUUGUUUGUUUUGAGACAGUCUAGCUCUGUUGCCCAGGCUGGAGUGCAGUGGGGCGAUCUCGGCUCACUACAAGCUCCACUUCCCACGUUCAGACGAUUCGGUACCUCAGCCUCCCGAGUAGCUGGGAUUACAGGCGUGCGCCACCACAUCUGGCUAGUUUUUGUAUUUUUGGUAGAGAUGGGGUUUUCACGAUGUUGGCCAGGCUGGUCUCGAACUCAUGGCCUCAAGUGACCUGCCUGUCUCGGCCUCCCAAAGUGCUGAGAUUACAGCUGUGAGCCACCUCGCCCAGCUGAUUAUUGUAUUUUUAGUAGAGAUGUGUUUCAUGCGCGUCUGUGUGAAGACACCACCAAACAGGCUUUGUGUGAGCAACAUGGCUGUUUAUUUCACCUGGGUGCAGGCGGGCUGAGUCCGAAAAGAGAGUCAGCAAAGGGUGAUGGAUUAUCAUUAGUUCUUACAGGUUUUGGGAUAGGUGGUGAAGUUGAGAGCAAUGUUUUGUGGGCAGGGGUGGAUCUCACAAAGUACAUUCUCAAGGGUGGGGAGAAUUACAAAGAACCUUCUUAAGGGUGGGGGAGAUUACAAAGUACAUUGAUCAGUUCGGGUGGGGCAGAAACAAAUCACAAUGGUGGAAUGUCAUCAGUUAAGGCUAUUUUUACUUCUUUUGUGGAUCUUCAGUUACUUCAGGCCAUCUGGAUGUAUACGUGCAAGUCACAGGGGAUGCGAUGGCUUGGCUUGGGCUCAGAGGCCUGACAAUGUGGUUUCACCAUGUUGGCCAGGCUGGUCUCAAACUCCUGGCCUCAGGUGAUCCACCUGCCUCAGCCUCUUAAAGUGCUGGGAUUACAGGUGUGAGUCACUGCACCCAGCUGACACCAUUUAUUUUUGUACUGAUAAUAAGGCACAUUUGACUCUAGAGGUUUGUAAAGCCCUUGAGAACAAGGAUCUUCUUAUAUGCCAUGUAUGUUAGUUAACGUUAAUUAAAGCAGCCUUUUUGUUAAAAGAUCUGUAAAAAUAAUAGCUAAAAUUCAAAAGCAAGGUGCUGAGAGACAUAGGAAAGGUGAGCAAGCUCACUUUUUAUUUAUUUUUUUGAGAUGAGGUCUUGCCCUGUCACCCAGGCUGGAGUGCAGUGGCACCAUCAGUGCUCAUUGCUGCCUCAACCUCCUGGGCUGAAGUGAUCCUCCCACCACAGCCUCGCGAGUAGCGAGGAACACAGGUGCAUGCCCCUAUACUUGGCUAAUUUUUUUAUUUCUUGUAGAGAUGGGGUAUCACUAUUUUGCCCAGGCCGGUCUUGAACUCCUGGACUCAGGUGAUCCUCCUACCUUGGCCUCCCAAAGUGUUGGGAUUACAGACCGGGCUCUGUGCCUCAUGCCAAUAAUCCCAGCACUUUGGGAGGCUGAGGCGGGCAGAUCACGAGGUCAGGAGAUCAAGACCAUCCUGGCCAACACGGUGAAACCCCGUCUCUACUAAAAAAAAAAUACGAAAAAUUAGCUGGGCAUGGUGGCGGGUGCCUAUAGUCCCAGCUACUCAGGAGGCUGAGGCAGGAGAAUGGCAUGAAUCCGGGAGGCAGAGCUUUCAGUGAGCCGAGAUCGUGCCACUGCACUCCAGCCUGGGCAACAGAACGAGACUCUGUCUCAAAAAAAAAAAAAGAAAGAAAGUAACAAAGUCUUGCUAUGUUAUCCAGGAUGGUCUACAACUCCUGUCCUCAAGGGAUCCUCCCACCUGAGCCUCUUGAAUAGCUGGGAUUAUAAGCAUGAGCCACCACACCCAGUUUCAAAUACAUUUUAUUUUAUUUUAUUUUACUUAUUUUUUUUUUGAGACGGAGUCUUGCUCUGUUGCCCAGGCUGGAGUGGAGUGGCACAAUCUCGGCUCACCACAACCUCCACCUCCUGGGUUCAACCGUUUCUCCUGCCUCAGCCUCCCAAGUAGCUGGGACUACAGGUGCGCACCACCAUGCCCGGCUAAUUUUUGUAUUUUUAGUAGAGACAGGGUUUCACUAUGUUAGCCAGGCCGGUCUCAAACUCCUGACCUUGUGAUCCACCUGCCUCAGCCUCCCAAAGUGCUGGGAUUACAAAUGUGAGCCGCUGCGCCCGGCCUUUUUUUUUUUUUUUUUUUUUUUUUUUUGAGAUGGAGCCUUGCUCUGCCGCCCAGGUUGGAGUGCAAUGGCGCGGUCUUGGCUCACUGCAACUUCCACCACCCAGGUUCAAGCAAUUCGGCCUCAGCCUCCUGAAUAGCUGGGACUACAGGCGCGUGCCAUUACACCCAGCUAAUUUUUGUAUUUUUUUUUUUUUUUUGAGACAGAGUCUUGCUCUUUCACCCAGGCCGGACUGCCAUGGCGCUAUCUCGGCUCACUGCAAGCUCCGUCUCCCGGGUUCACGCCAUUCUUCUGCCUCAGCCUCCCGAGUAGCUGGGACUACAGGCGCCUGGCUAAUUUUUUGUAUUUUUAGUAGAGACAGGGUUUCACCGUGUUAGCCAAGAUGGUCUCGAUCUCCUGACCUCGUGAUCCGCCCACCUCGGCCUCCCAAAGUGCUGGGAUUACAGGCGUGAGCCACCGCGCCCAGCCUAUGCCCUACUACUGUGCCGACAGCACAGCAUCUCCCAUCACAACACCAUAAUCAAUCAUUUUUACAUAAUCAUUUUCACAUAUAAGAUCAUAAUUUGGCCAGGCGUGGUAGCUCACGCCUGUAAUCCCAGAACUUUGGGAGGCCGAGGUGGGUGGAUCACCUAAGGUCAGGAGUUCAAGACCAGCCUGGCCAACAUGGUGAAACCCCAUCUCUACUAAAAAUACAAAAAUUAGUUGGGCGUGGUGAUGGGUGCCUGUAAUCCCAGCUACUGCAGAGGCUGUGGCAGGAGAAUUGCUUGAACUCGGGAGGCGGAGGUUGCAGUGAGCUGAGAUUGUGCCACUGCACUCCAGCCUGGGUGAUAGAGGAAGACUCCAUCUCAAAGAAAAAAAAAAAAUUCAGGCCCAAGUCUCCCCAGGUAACACUAGCAUAUAACUAGAGUUCAGUAGUCUCUCAGGAGGUGUGACAGACAUUGCUACUCGUCUUAGCCAGUAUUUAUUUUUUAAUUUUUUGAGACGGAGUCUCACUCUGUCGCCCAGGCUGGAGGGCAGUGGCGCGAUCUCGGCUCACCACAAACUCCGCCUCCUGGAUUCAAGCAAUUCUCUGCCUCAUCCUCCCAAGUAGCUGCGAUUACAGGCACCCGCCACCACACCCAGCUAAUUUUUGCAUUUUUAGUAGAGAUGGGGUUUCACCAUGUUGGCCAGGCUGGUCUCGAACUCUUGACCUUGUGAUCUGCCCACCUUGCCCUCCCAAAGUGCUGGGAUUACAGGCAUGAGCCACCAUGCAUGGCCUAAUUUUUGUAUUUUUAGUAGAGACGGGGUUUCACCAGCUUGGCCAGGCUGGUCUUGAACUCUUAACCUCAUGAUCCACCCACCUUGGCCUCCCAAAGUGCUGAGAUUACAGGUGUGAGCCACCACGCCCAGCCGUCUUAUCCAACAUUUAUCCUCCCUUUCUUCCUUUCUGACAGAACCCCAUUUUUUUUUUUUCAGAAUUACAAUGUGCUUAGCUUUCCAUGACUCCCUUGCCACCCUGAAAAUGUUAAUAAAACUUUGUCAUGGGCGGGAUGCAGUGGCUCACGCCUGUAAUCCCAGCACUUUAGGAGGCUGUGGUGGGCAGAUCACCUGAGGUCAGGAGUUUGAGACCAACCUGGCCAACAUGGUGAAACCCAUCUCUACUAAAAUACAAAAAAAUUAGCUGGGCAUAGUGGCAGGCACCUGUAAUGCCAGCUACUCAGGAGGCUGAGGCAGGAGAAUUGUUUGUACCUGGGAGGUGGAGGUUGCAGUGAGCCGAGACUGCGCCAUUGCACUCCAGCCUGGGCAACAAGAGCAAAACUCCAUCUAAAAAAAAAACAAAAACAAAAACAAAAAAAUUAAUUAAUGAAUUUUUUGAAGACAGAGUCUUGCUCUGUCACUCAGGCUGGAGUGCAGUGGCGCAUGAUCGUGGCUCACUGCAGCCUCGACCUCCUGGACUCAGGUGAUCCUCCCACCCUCUCACCUCAGCCGCCCCUCUCCCCUGGCCACCAGUGACUGAAACUACAGGUGUGCACCACUACCCCCUCUUAAACUCCUGGGCUCAAGCAAUCACCUGCCUCAGCCUCCAAAAGUGCUGGGUUACAGGUGUGAGCCACCAUGUCCAGCCAGUAGUACCUGUUAGUAUGUAGUAAGAGCAUAGGGGAGUGGUGGGGGCAAAGUUUGAAGUUUGGUGACAGAUUGUGAAGGGCUUUCAGUGCUAUUGAUAAAAUUUUAAGCAGGGAUGACACGAUCGAAUUUUGUAAUUUAGGAAGCCAAGUCUAGGAGUGGUGGGCAAAGAGGUGGGGAGGCUGGUCCAUGGGAAUCUAGCUAGGGAGUUGUUGCAAUUGUCUAGGGAAAAUCUGACAAGGAGUUGAACAAAUUUAUCAAGAAUGGGAAAGGGGCCGGGCGCGGUGGCUCACGCCUGUAACCCCAACACUUUGGGAGGCCGAUGUGGGCGGAUCACAAGGUCAGGAGUAUGAGACCAGCUUGACCAAUAUGGUGAACUAAAAAUACAAAAAUUAGCCAAGCGUGUGGCAGGCGCCUGUAAUCCCAGCUACUCAGGCUGCUGAGGCAGGAGAAUCGCUUGAACCUGGGAGGUGGAGGUUGCAGUGAGCCGAGAUCACGCCAUUGCACUCCAGCCUGGGUGACAGAGUGAGACUCUGUCUCAAAAAAGAAAAAAGAAAAAAAAAAAAGAAUGGGAAAGGAUGAAAGGACUUUGAUUUGAGAAACAUUUCUCAAGGUAGAAUCAGCAGGAUUUGAUGACCAGUUGGAUGUGUGACCAAAGAGAAAGGAAGAAGUUUAAGAUAACUUCCAAGAUUUCCGGCCGGGUGCGAUGGCUCAAGCCUGUAAUCCCAGCACUUUGGGAGGCCGAGGCAGGUGGAUCACCUGAAGUCGGGAGUUCGAGACCAGCCUGAUCAACAUGGAGAAACCCUGUCUCUACUAAAAUUACAAAAAAUUAGCCAGGUGUGGUGGUGUGUGCCUGUAAUCCCAGCUACUUGGGAGGCUGAGGCAGGAGAAUUGCUUGAACCUGGGAGGCAGAGGUUGCAGUGAGCUGAGAUCACACCAUUGCACUCCAACCUGGGCAACAAGAGCGAAAUUCUGCUUCAAAAAAAAAAAAGAUUUCUAUAAUGGGAGGCAGGGUAAGUAGUGAUGCUUUUUCAAUUAUUUAUUUAUUUUUUAUAUAUUUUUAGAGACAGGUUCUUGCUGUCUCACAUAGGCUGGUGUGCAGUGAUGCCAUCAUAGCUCACUAUAACCUUGAACUCCUGGGCUCAAGGAAAUCUUCCUGCCUAAGUCUCUUUAGUAGCUGGGACUACAGGUGCUGGUCACGCUCAUUUUUAAAUUGGUUUUUUUUUUUUUUUUUUUUUGAGAGGUCUCACUCUGUCGCUCAGGCUUUAGUGCAGUGGCACUAUCUUGGCUCACUGCAACCUCCGUCUCCCAGGUUCAAGCAAUUCUGCCUCAGCCUCCCAAGUAGCUGGGGCUACAGGCGUGUGCCACCACACCUGGCUAAUUUUUGUUUUAGUAGAGAUGGGUCUUGCCAUGUUGUCCAGGCUGGUCUCGAACUCCUGGCCUCAAGUGAUCUACCUGCCUCAGCCUCCCAAAGUGCUGGGAUUACAGGAGUGAGCCACUGCACCUGGCUUACAUUUUUUUUUUUUUUUUUUUGUAGAGGCAGGGUUUUGCUAUGUUGCUCAAGCUGGUCUCGAACUCAACUCAAAGCAUUGGGAUUACAGGUAUGAGCCACUGUGCCCGGCCAAGUGAUGCUUUUAAAUAAGGGUGUAUAUAUUUGGAAGACAAGCUUUGUUGGGAAAGAUGAUACAUACUGAGCCAGAAGUGCUGUGAGACUCAGUAGAUAAGGAAUCCAACAGGCAGUCAGAUAUGCAGGAUUAAGGCUACAGGAAUGGUCAGGGCUAUAGAAAUAUUUCAGGAGUUAUCAAGAGGUAGAUUGUAGUUUAAUGAGAAAACAAUUAACAUUUACUGAGCAUCUGUUAAAUGGCAGACACUCUGGUGUUUGUGCAUGGGUAGGGCACUCAUAAUUGAUGGCCUCAAUUUUCUUUGAAAGGGAAACCCAGGCCGGGCGCGGUGGCUCACGCCUGUAAUCCCAGCACUUUGGGAGGCCGAGGCGGG